CGGCAGCACGAGGAGCUUGCUCCUUGGUGGCGAGUGGCGGACGGGUGAGUAACGCGUAGGAAUUUACCUUGUAGUGGGGGACAACCCGGGGAAACUCGGGCUAAUACCGCAUAAUCUUUACGGAGCAAAGUGGGGGAUCUUCGGACCUCACGCUAUAAGAUGAGCCUGCGUCGGAUUAGCUUGUUGGUGGGGUAAAGGCCUACCAAGGUGACGAUCCGUAGCUGGUCUGAGAGGACGACCAGCCACACUGGGACUGAGACACGGCCCAGACUCCUACGGGAGGCAGCAGUGGGGAAUAUUGGACAAUGGGCGCAAGCCUGAUCCAGCAAUGCCGCGUGUGUGAAGAAGGCCUUCGGGUUGUAAAGCACUUUCAGUGGGGAAGAAAGGCUCAAGGUUAAUAACCUUGAGAGUUGACGUUACCCACAGAAGAAGCACUGGCUAACUCUGUGCCAGCAGCCGCGGUAAUACAGAGAGUGCAAGCGUUAAUCGGAAUUACUGGGCGUAAAGCGCGCGUAGGUGGAUAUUUUAGUCGGAUGUGAAAGCCCUGGGCUUAACCUGGGAACUGCAUCCGAAACUGGGUAUCUAGAGUAUAGUAGA
rnacentral:rRNA from 1 species